rnacentral:rRNA from 1 species
UACGAAGGGGGCUAGCGUUGCUCGGAAUCACUGGGCGUAAAGCGCACGUAGGCGGAUUGUUAAGUCAGGGGUGAAAUCCUGGAGCUCAACUCCAGAACUGCCUUUGAUACUGGCGAUCUUGAGUCCGGGAGAGGUGAGUGGAACUGCGAGUGUAGAGGUGAAAUUCGUAGAUAUUCGGAGGAACACCAGUGGCGAAGGCGACACGCUGGGCCGUACCUGACACUGAUGCGCGACAGCAUGGGGAGCAAACAGG